rnacentral:rRNA from 1 species
CGGGGGGCUGCAGUGGGGAAUUUUGGACAAUGGGGGAAACCCUGAUCCAGCCAUCCCGCGUGUGCGAUGAAGGCCUUCGGGUUGUAAAGCACUUUUGGCAGGAAAGAAACGUCAUGGGUUAAUACCCCGUGAAACUGACGGUACCUGCAGAAUAAGCACCGGCUAACUACGUGCCAGCAGCCGCGGUAAUACGUAGGGUGCAAGCGUUAAUCGGAAUUACUGGGCGUAAAGCGUGCGCAGGCGGUUCGGAAAGAAAGAUGUGAAAUCCCAGAGCUUAACUUUGGAACUGCAUUUUUAACUACCGAGCUAGAGUGUGUCAGAGGGAGGUGGAAUUCCGCGUGUAGCAGUGAAAUGCGUAGAUAUGCGGAGGAACACCGAUGGCGAAGGCAGCCUCCUGGGAUAACACUGACGCUCAUGCACGAAAGCGUGGGGAGCAAACAGGAUUAGAUACCCGAGUAGUC